UACGGGGGGGGCUAGCGUUGUUCGGAAUUACUGGGCGUAAAGGGCGCGUAGGCGGUCUAUUAAGUUGGAUGUGAAAACUCUGGGCUUAACCCAGAGCCUGCAUUCAAAACUGAUAGGCUGGAGUUCUGGAGGGGAUAGCGGAAUUCCUGGUGUAGCGGUGAAAUGCGUAGAUAUCAGGAGGAGCACCGGUGGCGAAGGCGGCUAUCUGGACAGAAACUGACGCUGAGGCGCGAAAGCUAGGGGAGCAAACAGG
rnacentral:rRNA from 1 species